rnacentral:lncRNA from 1 species
UUGUAUUCUGAUAAUUCUUCUCGUAUUGUCGUUUGUAGGACAAUGCCGCCUAGAGUAGGCAAUAGAAAUCGGGGCCGUGGUGUUCGUACAGCUAGAUUAGCCGAUAUUGGUCGACCUCAUAGGGAUCCUACAGUUACACCUCCACCUCUAGAUAGGAUGGCAGAUCAUGUUUUGCUUGAGAGCAGAGAAGGGCAUGGAGAUUCUGCUUCUCAUGGUGUUGAAUCAAGAACAUAUCCGGCUGCACCUUCAUUUCCUUCAGCACCUGCAGUUGCACCUCCUGUCGCAUCUGCAGCUCCACCUCUUGUUCCACCUGUAGCACCAGUUAAUCCUUUUCAGAUAAAUGCCGACCUGGGUGCUUUUGUGGCACAAGUAGUUACAGCAGCUGUUACAGCCAAACCUAGAGAUUCGUGGGAGAUAGUGGAUCGUGCUAGACAUUUGGGAGCUUAUGAUUUUGAGGGUUCUUCUGAUGCUGACAUUGCAGAUAAAUGGUUAAAGAAAGUGCUAAAAGUGUUUGAAUUAAUGAAGUUGACUGAUGCAGAUAAAGUAGAUAAUGUACAUGGAUUGCUUCAGGGUAAAGCUGAUGGUUGGUUUGAUGGCAUUCAUCGCAGACAUAGAGUCAGACUGACUUGGGAUCAAUUUAUAUAUGAAUUUUGCCAGGAGUAUUUGUCAGAAAGUUACAGGAAGGGGAAACAGGAUGCCUUUCUCAGGUUGUUUCAAGGAAGCCUCUCAAUAAGAGAGUAUGUUGACAAGUUUGAAGAUCUUUAUUGCUUUGUGUCAGAUAUACUACCUUUUGAGGAAGCUAAAUGUGAUAGAUUUAGACAGGGUCUACAUGUCAAUAUCAGAUCAUCUAUGACCUGGUUCAGAGGUAAUAAUUUCAGAGAGUUGGUGGAAGCAGCUUUGAAUGUUGAGAAAGUUAAGCAAGAAGAGAAAGAGUAUGAGCAGAGGAUGAGUAGAAAACAUAUGCAGGAUUCACAGGGGUUCAGAGAAAGACCAGCUAAGAGAUGGAGCAGUUCAUUUCAGUCCCAAGCUGGAUACAGAGGUAGUGGUAGAGGUUCUUUUGUUAACACAGAGCAGCAGGUUGCUCGACCACAAUCUAGUCAGAGUUCAGUAGCAUAGCCAGUGGGUAGUUCCUUUGGGGCACCGACACAUGGGCAAGGAUAUAAUUCUGGGUUUGAGCAAAGGAAGAGACAUUUUCCUCAAUGUGCCACCUGUGGUAAAUAUCAUGCUGGGGAGUGUAGAAAAUUCGAUAGGGGUUGUUUUGAAUGUGGCUCUUCGGGGCAUUUUAAGAAAGAUUGUCCAUUGCUGAUAGCCAGAGACAGUGGUUCUCAGCAAGGGUCAGUGGCACCUCAGAAUCUAAAGUAUGGUAUGACACUAUCACAGGGAGUACCUACGGCACAAGUUGGACCAAGCACAAGCAGAGCCAGUGGAGCUACUUCAUCUUCUCAGCCUAGACCAAUGAUGCAACCUGGCAGACCUCGCACUCAAGCCAGAGUUUUUGCUAUGACACAGCAGGAGGCACGAGCAUCUUCAGAGGUGGUGACUGGUAUGUUAACUAUUUUUAAUAAAGAUGCGUACAUUCUUACAGAUCCUGGUUCUACUCACUCUUUCAUAUCUCAAUCAUUCUCUAAGCAUGCUGAUAGAGAAUUAAAACCCUUAGACUGCGGAUUAGCUGUGAGUACUCCAGUUGGGGAUUCUGUUGUAUGUGAAUAUGUGUAUAGGGAUUGUGUUGUUAAGUUGGGAAAUCAUGAGCUGUUAGUGGAUCUAAUUCCUUUGUGUCUACAAGAUCUGGAUGUCAUCCUAGGUAUGGACUGGUUAUCCCGUCAUCAUGCCACAAUAGAUUGCUUUGAGAAAUCAGUGGUAUUUAAUACUCCAAAAGGGUCCAAGUUCACUUUCUUUGGGGAGAGGCGUUUAUUUCCUUCUUAUGUGAUUUCCGCCAUGACCACUAGGAAGAUGCUUCGGAAGGGUUGUCAAGCAUAUUUAGCCUAUGUGGUGGACAGUAACCUAGAAGGACCUAAAUUGGAGGAUAUACAAAUAGUAAACGAGUUUCCUGAUGUAUUUCCUGAAGAACUUCCUGGGUUGCCUCCAGAUAGAGAGAUUGAAUUCUCUAUAGAUUUAAAUCCAGGUACAGCUCCUAUUUCUAUGGCACCAUACAGAAUGGCCCCAGCAGAAUUGAAGGAGUUAAAAGCACAAUUGCAGGAGCUACUUGAUAAAGGUUUCAUAAGACCCAAUGUUUCACCUUGGGGAGCCCCUGUGCUAUUUGUGAAGAAGAAGGAUGGUUCCUUAAGAUUGUGUAUUGACUACAGACAAUUGAAUCGAGUUACUGUGCGAAAUAAGUAUCCUUUACCCCGCAUUGAUGAUCUUUUUGAUCAACUCCAAGGUGCUAAAGUAUUCUCUAAGAUUGAUUUGCGGUCUGGGUAUCAUCAAUUGAAGAUCAAGGAGUCUGAAAUACCUAAGACAGCCUUCAGAACUCGUUACGGGCAUUAUGAGUUCCUUGUUAUGCCUUUUGAGUUAACUAAUGCACCCACUGCUUUUAUGGAUCUCAUGAAUAGGGUGUUUAAGCCCUACUUGGACAGUUUUGUUAUUGUGUUUAUUGAUGACAUCUUAGUAUAUUCUCGUAGCAAGGAAGAGCAUGAGAUGCAUUUACGGAUAGUACUGCAAAUUUUGAGGAAUAAGCAACUAUAUGCUAAAUUGAGCAAAUAUGAGUUCUGGCUUGAUCGGGUGGUUUUCUUGGGACAUGUUAUCUCAGCAGAUGGAGUUUUGGUUGAUCCUAAGAAGAUUGAAACAGUAGUCAAUUGGGACCCUCCAACUAAUGUUACAGAGGUUAGAAGUUUUCUGGGCUUAGCAGGGUAUUAUUGUCGCUUUGUUCAGGAUUUCUCCAUCAUUGCAGCACCAUUGACUAAACUCCUUCGAAAGAAUGCAAAGUUUGAAUGGACAGAUGAAUGUCAAGAGAGUUUCGAGAAGCUUAAAACAUGUCUCACAUCAGCCCCAGUUCUUACCCUACCCUCAGGUACAGAUGGAUUUGUGGUGUAUAGUGAUGCUUCUCAAAAGGGUUUAGGCUGUGUACUCAUGCAACAUGGGAAGGUGAUAGCUUAUGCUUCUAGACAGCUUAGACCACAUGAAUUAAAUUAUCCCACCCAUGAUUUGGAAUUGGCUGCAGUUGUAUUUGCAUUAAAGACAUGGAGGCAUUAUCUUUAUGGCGUGACUUGCCAGAUUUUUACAGACCACAAGAGUUUGAAGUAUCUUCUCACACAGAAGGAGUUGAAUUUAAGGCAGAGACGGUGGAUUGAGUUACUUAAGCACUACGACUGUACUAUUGAAUAUCAUCCAGGUAAAGCUAAUGUGGUAGCUGAUGCCCUUAGUCGCAAGUCCUUUAGUAAUUUGGCUUAUCUCAAAAAAGUUCGACUUCCUUUGUUACUAGAGAUCAGAUCCUUAAGGGUAGAACUAGCAGUGGAUGAUGCAGGAGCAUUGUUAGCAACUUUCAAAGUUCGACCAGUGUUGAUAGAAAAAGUCAAGGAAGCCCAAAAUCAAGAUGAGCAGUUUAGUAAGAUCAGUAAUGAAGUAAGAGAUGGCACCCGUACCGACUUUUCUCUAAGGGAGUAUGGAACGUUAAUGUUUGGUGAUAGACUAUGUGUACCCAGAGUGGAAAGCUUGAAGAGAGAGAGUAUGGAGGAAGCCCAUUGUUCUGCUUACUCUAUGCAUCCAGGCAGUACAAAAAUGUAUAGAGAUCUUAAAGAAAACUAUUGGUGGCCAGGCAUGAAGAAAGAAAUAGCUGACUUUGUGUCCACAUGCUUAGUUUGCCAACAGAUUAAAGCAGAACAUCAACAUCCAACAGGAAAGCUGCAACCGCUCCCUAUUCUAGAAUGGAAGUGGGAACACAUUACUAUGGAUUUUGUUUCAGGGUUACCUCGUACUUCGCGUGGACAUAAUGCAGUAUGGGUGAUAGUUGAUAGAUUAACCAAGUCAGCACAGUUUUUGCCUGUCAGGAUGGAUUAUUCUUUAGACAAGUUAGCAGAGAUCUAUGUCAGUGAGAUUGUCAAACUUCAUGGUGCUCCAGUUUCUAUUGUUUCAGAUAGAGAUCCAAGAUUCACUUCUCAUUUUUGGCCUAGCUGCAAAAUGCUUUAGGAACUAAGUUGAAGUUUAGCACUUCUUUUCACCCUCAAACUGAUGGUCAAUCAGAAAGAACUAUUCAGACCUUAGAGGAUAUGCUGAGAGCUUGUGUGAUGGAGUUUAAAGGAAGUUGGGAUAGGCAUGUGCCUUUAAUGGAGUUCUCUUAUAACAAUAGUUAUCAUUCGAGUAUCAGCAUGGCUCCUUAUAAAGCUUUGUAUGGGAGGAGAUGUAGAACACCAUUGUGUUAAAAUGAGGUAGGGGAAAGACAAUUAGAAGGUCCAGAACUAGUACAAUACACCACAGAUAAAAUUCAGAUGAUCAGAAGUAGGUUAAAAGCAGCACAAGACAGACAGAAGAGUUAUGCAGAUCUGAAGAGAAGGGAUAUUGAAUAUAAUGUUGGCGACAAAGUAUUUCUGAAGAUCUCUCCUUGGAAAGGGGUGGUACGUUUUGGCAAACGUGGGAAAUUGAGUCCGCGAUUCAUAGGACCAUGUGAGAUUUUAGAGAGAAUUGGCCCAGUUGCUUAUCGUUUAGCACUACCACCAGAGCUAUCUCAGAUUCAUGAUGUCUUCCAUGUAUCCAUGUUAAGGAGAUACAGAAGUGAUCCUUCCCACAUUCUCCAGAAACAACCUAUCGAGUUGAGGGAAGAUUUAACAUAUGAAGAAGAGCCAAUAGAGAUCAUUACCAGAGAAGAGAAGGUUCUAAGGAGCAAGAUAAUACCCUUGGUUAAAGUUCGAUGGAGUAACCAUUCUGCCAAAGAAGCUACUUGGGAAAAAGAAGAGAAUAUGCGAAUUCAAUUUCCACAUUUAUUUCCUUCACCAGGUAUGUAAAUUUCGAGGACAAAAUUUCUAUUAGGAGGAGAGAAUUAUCAGGCCCUAGCCCAGCCUACAAAAAAAAAAUAAAGUAAAUAGCCCAUAAAAUAAAUAAAGAAAUAAAUAAAUAAAUAAUUAAAACAUUAAAGGCUCUGGUUUCUUCCAGAGCCUUCAUUUGUGUGAAGUAGAGAAAAAAACAAAAAAGAAAGAAAAGCAGCAGAAGCAGGGGCAAGCAGAGCAUUGCUCUGUUAUUUUUUUUUAAAAAAAAAACCUUUUCUUUAAUCCAAAUCUCCUUCCUCUCAACCCGAUCAACCCACAAACUUCAAAGAUCCUUCAGCUAGAUCCUGAUUUAAAUCUAUAUCCUGCUCAGAAAUUUAAUAUUUUCUUCCAGAGGUUCCAAAAUUGGGUAGGUGAGUUUUAUUCCCUUUACUCGAUUUAUUACGAUAUAAUUUAUUUUCUCUACCUUUUAAGAAUUAUUUGGUGAAUUGAGAAUCAAAAGGGAUGUAUUUAGGUUAGACCCAAGUAAUGAGAUUUAAUAUUUCUUUUGGGGAUUAAUGAUUUUUUUAUAGGUUAUUGAGUAUUUUUGUUGAGGUUGUUCAUUUUUGGGAGGUCUAGCUAUACCGAAAUACUGUCGACAUUUUCUUAAAAAUAUAUAUAAAAAUAUAUUUAAAAUUUCGUAUUUUACGUUUUAUAUUAUUAUCCUAGUAUAUUUAUUUAUUAUUUGAUAUAUUAUUUUCUUUUUAAUUCUAGGAGAGGAUCCAGCUUUUGGGAUAGGUAAUAGGAGUGCUCCUGCGACCUAGGUUAUUCUAUCCUCAGUACUGGUGAGUGGAUAAAUAUAUAACAUUAAUAUUUGUCUUAAAUAUAUAUAUACUCAUAUAUGUUAUUUUGUUUAUUUAAGUUGGAAAAGGAUAACGAUAAUUUAUAUUUCUUGAAUAAAUGAAAAUUGAAUUUAAAGCACGGCUGAAUAAAUAGCCGAUUACACUCUGUAUAUGCACCGAAUAUAUAACACAUUAAUAACUGGUGAUUUAUUUUCAGCAUAAUAUAUAUUUAUACUGUCUUUGAGACAGCGCUUGAUAUACAGAUAGCCUUUGGGGCGUAUGUCAGGUGGUCACCCUUUGGGAGUAGCUCUGCACAUGUGUAUGACCAGUAUUUUGUUUGCUCUUGGGUCAAAAUUGUCAUCAUAGAGCCUAAGAUGCCAGCAUUGCUCUCAGGCUGUCAUUAUUUUAUCACACCUGAGAUGCCAGCAUUAUCUAUAGGGCACAUAUUAUGAGUGUAUGCGGAUUCUAUUUUUCACAGUUCAUUUUAUAUUAAUUGAAUUAAAUUGUAUUUAUUCAGCUGACUUAUUUUAGCUAAAUAUUUGGUACUAUUAAGUACUUAAACUUUAUCUUUUCCCCUUUGUUAUUUAUUUAUCCGCUCACUGAGUAUUUUGUACUCACUCUUAUACUUUUAAUAUUACAGCUCCUUUUUGGUGAUCCGCUCAGCAGUCCUCAUCUUCUUGUUUGUCCUUCUUCCUCAUCAUCCACUCAGAGUCUAGAGGAGGUCGGACCAAUCCUAGGUCUUUUGUCAUAUCUUUUGUAUAAUUUUGAAAGAUCAUGUAUAGAUUGUACAUUCCAAUGAGGAACGUAUUUUGUUUAAUGUAAAUAUAUUAUGAAUUGACUAGAACAACCAUUAGUUUUCUCUUAUAUGUUUAAUAUUUUAAAAACUUAUAGCACGUUAUAUGUAUUUAUAUGUAUAAAAUCAGGGGAAGUUCUGUCAGUUUUUCGGGUCAUAUCCGCCUCUACAGAUUAGAGAAUGGUUAUGACAAUUUUUAGUAUCAGAGCUUAGGUUAUAGAUUCUGUAGACUUUUCUUGAGUUAGUAUUCUUAAUUGUAUUCUGAUAAUUCUUCUCGUAUUGUUGUUUGUAGGACAAUGCCGCCCAGAGUAGGCAAUAGAAAUCGGGGCCGUGGUGUUCGUACAGCUAGAUUAGCUGAUAUUGGUCGACCUCAUAGGGAUCCUACAGUUACACCUCCACCUCUAGAUAGGAUGGCAGAUCAUGUUUUGCUUGAGAGCGGAGAAGGGCAUGGAGAUUCUGCUUCUCAUGGUGUUGAAUCAAGAACAUAUCCGGCUGCACCUUCAUUUCCUUCAGCACCUGCAGUUGCACCUCCUGUCGCAUCUGCAGCUCCACCUCUUGUUCCACCUGUAGCACCAGUUAAUCCUUUUCAGAUAAAUGCCGACUUGGGUGCUUUUGUGGCACAAGUAGUUACAGCAGCUGUUACAGCCAAACCUAGAGAUCCGUGGGAGAUAGUGGAUCGUGCUAGACAUUUGGGAGCUUAUGAUUUUGAGGCUUCUUUUGAUGCUGACAUUGCAGAUAAAUGGUUCAAGAAAGUGCUAAAAGUGUUUGAAUUAAUGAAGUUGACUGAUGCAGAUAAAGUAGAUAAUGUACAUGGAUUGCUUCAGGGUAAAGCUGAUGGUUGGUUUGAUGGCAUUCGUCGCAAACAUAAAGUCAGACUGACUUGGGAUCAAUUUAUAUAUGAAUUUCGCCAGGAGUAUUUGUCAGAGAGUUACAGGAAGGGGAAACAUGAUGCCUUUUUCAGGUUGUUUCAAGGAAGCCUCUCAAUAAGAGAGUAUGCUGACAAGUUUUAAGAUCUUUAUUGCUUUGUGUCAGAUAUACUGCCUUCUGAGGAAGCUAAAUGUGAUAGAUUUAGACAGGGUCUACAUGUCAAUAUCAGAUCAUCUAUGACCUGGUUCAGAGGUAAUAAUUUCAGAGAGUUGGUGGAAGCAGCUUUGAAUGUUGAGAAAGUUAAGCAAGAAGAGAAAGAGUAUGAGCAGAGGAUGAGUAGAAAACAUAUGCAGGAUUCACAGGNN